rnacentral:rRNA from 1 species
GAUGAACGCUGGCGGCGUGCUUAACACAUGCAAGUCGAACGGUGAACACGGAGCUUGCUCUGUGGGAUCAGUGGCGAACGGGUGAGUAACACGUGAGCAACCUGCCCCUGACUCUGGGAUAAGCGCUGGAAACGGCGUCUAAUACUGGAUAUGUGACGUGACCGCAUGGUCUGCGUUUGGAAAGAUUUUUCGGUUGGGGAUGGGCUCGCGGCCUAUCAGCUUGUUGGUGAGGUAAUGGCUCACCAAGGCGUCGACGGGUAGCCGGCCUGAGAGGGUGACCGGCCACACUGGGACUGAGACACGGCCCAGACUCCUACGGGAGGCAGCAGUGGGGAAUAUUGCACAAUGGGCGCAAGCCUGAUGCAGCAACGCCGCGUGAGGGAUGACGGCCUUCGUGUUGUAAACCUCUUUUAGCAGGGAAGAAGCGAAAGUGACGGUACCUGCAGAAAAAGCGCCGGCUAACUACGUG